GUGGGGAAUAUUGGGCAAUGGGCGAAAGCCUGACCCAGCAACGCCGCGUGAGGGAAGAAGGCCUUCGGGUUGUAAACCUCUGUCCUUGGUGACGAAGAAAGUGACGGUAGCCAAGGAGGAAGCCCCGGCUAACUACGUGCCAGCAGCCGCGGUAAUACGUAGGGGGCGAGCGUUGUCCGGAAUUACUGGGCGUAAAGGGUGCGUAGGUGGCCUUUUAAGUUGGAUGUGAAAUACCCGGGCUUAACUUGGGGGGUGCAUCUAGUACUGGGAGGCUAGAGUGCAGGAGAGGGAAGCGGAAUUCCUAGUGUAGCGGUGAAAUGCGUAGAUAUGCGGAGGAACACCGAUGGCGAAGGCAAUCCCCUGGGCCUGUACUGACGCUCAUGCACGAAAGCGUGGGGAGCAAACAGGAUUAGAUACCCUUGUAGUCC
rnacentral:rRNA from 1 species